ensembl:lncRNA
AUCUUUUUCUGGAGAUUGCUCCCUUUAGAGUUUUUCUGUGAGCUGAAGACAUGGAUGUAAGAAAUGUGAAAACAUGAACCAAGCUAAAAAGCUAUGGCCCGUAAAGAAAAUCAUCUGCAGUACCAUAAAAGGAGCUCCUAUCCUGAGACCUCAGUGCUGCAGAAGGAAACGUUGCCCAUACUACUGGAAGCUGGCUCCAAUUACUAGCCUUUAAUCGAGAAGCAUGAAGAUGCUGAGAUACUAUCAUCCUACAGACACAUGGGUAUGAACUUGAAAUGGGAAACUUCAAUGAGAUGCUUCACAUGCCUGAAGUUCAGCUUGUGUAUAACUUCCUGACGGAAGACCGGUCAUAAAAUUUCUGAGUACUUCAAUGACUUAGGGGGCAAUGGGUCACUGAGUAUUAGGACACACAGUCUGUGUGAACACAGAAGAAAAUAUUACAAAACAGCUUUAUCAAUAAGACAAUAAAAACACUUCAAUAUGUUGUUUAUCCCAUCAGCUCUUGGCACUGUUAACUGAGUUACAGUUUCAGUGACACCAAAGCCUGUUUUAAUGAUAAGCUUCAGAAACUUAUAUAACAAACAGCAGUCUAGUAGAACAGUACAAAAUGUUUUCCCUGCCUUGACCAGAGUAGUGAGUAGGUAACUAGUACUUAGUUAAUUCACACAACUGAAAACUUUAGUAAGAGAAAGAUUUAAAGCUCUUUAAUGAACCCUCUCUGGCAGUAAGCAGUCCCAAGUGUUAUGGUUGAUAUCAAGUAGCUCUAGCUAGUUUGAAAAGUGUUAGUGAAACACUAAAAAAAAAAAAAAAGAAGAAGAAGAAGAAGAAGAACUUCCUGACGUCUCAUCUGCUAGAACAGGUACACAGCAGUCUUUACUUGGCCUGUACUGGGCAUCCUGGGUCUGAAGAGGGACAACAGGAAAUGCUGAAGAUGUGUAUUCAGUUUUACGGGAAGGAUGAAGCCCAGGCCAGCAGUAGCGCUAUGAGGAAAGAACUCUUUCUUCAGGUUAGAGCCAGGUAGAAAAUCCCACUCUUCCUCUGUUGAACAUAGAUGAGAAGGAAGUAUUCUCCUGCCAGUCUACUGUGUGAUAUGCCUGCAGCUGUGGAAGAGUCUUCAUUCAAAAACCUGAUAUUGUUUGGGAAGAAACCAGGAAAUGUCUCAAAGACCUUCCAGGUUUCUCAUGUGUUCACAAGUGUAAUAAUUUGUAAAGCAUCAUGUUAUCUCAAAUAAAUGAAUGCAGGUUUAUAUGGUCAAUAGAUUUACACAUUUAUAUUUGUUUAAAUAUAACAAAAUAAAUAUAAC